UAGGGAAUCUUCCACAGUGGACGCAAGUCUGAUGGAGCAACGCCGCGUGAGUGAAGAAGGGUUUCGGCUCGUAAAGCUCUGUUGUUAAAGAAGAACGUGGGUAAGAGUAACUGUUUACCCAGUGACGGUAUUUAACCAGAAAGCCGCGGCUAACUACGUGCCAG
rnacentral:rRNA from 1 species